rnacentral:lncRNA from 1 species
ACAGCAAACUUGAACCUACUAUAGCCAACAUAUACAACAAGGAUCUAAAUGGCUAGGGACCAAGAGAAUGUGCAGUCAAACUCAGUAGCCUCACUGCAAAUAUUCGAUGACACCGCAGGUCAAAAGAUCACUCACACCACUGCAGCAUCAAGAUAACCACUGACGAGUGAGUAGACAUCCAAGUGGUUUCUCGUGUUGAUCAUGC